GCCAAUCAGAGAACACGGUAUAUUGACUAUGCACGUUAUCAACCAAAAUGGCCUCCGAGUAACGGGACGCUUUCGACAAGAUUUGAGUGGGGAUAACCUCAACACAAGUCGAAAUCUUCAUCUUUGCGCCGUCGAAAGGCCCAUCACAAGUCGUUUGUCAUACACUGAACUCGAUCCUGUCAGCCUUGGAUAGCAAAAUCGCUAUGACAGUCCGUCUGUAACGCAGUCACAGGGAAGAUGUGUGCGUGAAUGGAUAUACGGAAUACCACUACCCCCAGCAUAGAUUAUCACAGCUCGCUUUCAUCCGAUGAUGCUCAGUGCGUCGUCGUCGUCGUAGCUGGGAGGGGAGUGAUCCAGUAUGGAAUGAUUGAAGUCCAUUUGCUCUAAGUUUCCCAGCAAGAUCUGUGUGCACAGUGGCAGCAAGAGGGGUGCAGAACUGCAGAUGCAAAAGGAGAGGCGCGAACUUGACCAUCCAAGAGGUGCAAUGUCUUGUCCUUGCUCUUGAGUUUGGUCUUGGAUAGCAUUAAAGGAUAUUGCUGAAUCAUGUUGAAAAAGACUGAAUAAUGAAACACAAAGACAAACUGAGACAUCUGGAAUAACAUGGUGUGAGAAAAUCCAUGGUUUUAAAGAGUUCUCUUGAAUAGAUAAUAUGCUAGAUGUUGACAAGCAAAGAAAAACAGGACCGCCCGUCGCACGUUGAAUUCAAUCAAUAUUCUGAAAUCAAAUAUUUUAUCAGAUGAGGAUCAUUUGAUUUCAGCGUAAAAACCACAAGUUAUCUGAGAAGACAUACUUGUACAGUGUUCAUGUUCCUCUCAAAACUCUACUUCAAUGUUCCUCUUCCACGCCAGUAGGGAAGCAGUGCAACCAAACAGGUACAUGUAGAGUUUUCAAAAACAGUAAUCGAUCUUCUCUCAGCUCCUCUCACGAUUGUAAGCACCCCAUCGUCAGAUCCAUCGACCAGAUGUUGAAGUAAUCUGCGGUUUAUUCAUCCCUGGAAUGAUAUUAAUCUUCGGUUUGUCGUUGACGCAAGCCACGACUCCUUCAGAUCUGAACCUCGCCACCGGUGUUCGGAGCGUCCGAGAAGUUUUGCGGUCUUUCUGCGUGCUGGAAGUCGUCGGCAUGGAAGAUGCAGAGAUAUGAGGUAAUUUCAUGAUUUACUUUCCUGUACAAUUUACAAACUGUUCCAAGAAUCAGGGGCUUUCGCUCACGGUAUGAGUCACCCUUCUUUCUUGUCCGAGUAUUUCCAAGUAUUUCAUUCCACAUAAAUGGAGGCGAGGCGCACAAAGCUCCAAUCGUGGAUCACGCACCCACCCGAUCUUUCUUUCUCGUGAUAUGAGGUAAAAGGAAGCCAAUAUGUCGGCUGCAGCUUCAGGAAAAAUAUGGAAUCGCCUCAAAGAUCGCGUUAACCGCAAUGGAAUUGUACGCCGCAUAAGCAUCAGACGGAGUAGUCGCGUGAAAAAAUAUUCCCUGGAUUACGAGGAGCGAGGUCCGGAAGAUGGACCGAUUAGCGAGUGAGUUUUGAUACAUUUUUCACCAGAAUGCUGCAUCCAACUGCACUUUAAUCUCCUCAUUUAACUGAUCACAGUUUUUAUCCCAUCAACUAACCAAUUUAUUUUUUCAUCACACUAAUUAGAUUAUUUCAUUCUUACCUCAGUAUUUUAUUAACAAGUUCAUUUAUAUUAUUUCUGCCUGCCUUGUAAAUUACUAACUAACAUACUUAUCUAUUCAUUUUACUUUGUUUUGAACCACAUCAACAUGCUUUGACUAUAAGUCUAUCUAUGAGUCGGAGCCCAACCACCAUAACCGAUGUACCACCACCACCACCACCACCACCACCACCACCAUAAUCGAUAUCACUACCAUAAGUAUCGAUCAUUAACAAAGUAAUUUAUUAUUAUUUAUCUGAUUUCACAUCAAACUAAUUGCAUCUUUUUCACCUCUGUUUUAGCCAUUAUAUUUUGUUUUCAC